rnacentral:rRNA from 1 species
UAAUUCCAGCUCCAAUAGCGUAUAUUAAAGUUGUUGCGGUUAAAAAGCUCGUAGUUGGAUUUCUGGAAAGGACGACCAGUCCACCCACUGGGUGAGUACGUGGUUCGGCUUGGCCAUUUUCUUGGAGAACGCCACUGCGCUUCAUUGUGUGGGGUGAUAUCCAAGACUUUUACUUUGAGGAAAUUAGAGUGUUUCAAGCAGGCGCACGCCUUGAACACAUUAGCAUGGAAUAAUGAGAUAGGACCUUGGCUCUAUUUUGUUGGUUUCUAGAGCUGAGGUAAUGAUUAAUAGGGAUAGUCGGGGGCAUUCGUAUUUAACUGUCAGAGGUGAAAUUCUUGGAUUUGUUAAAGACGGACUACUGCGAAAGCAUUUGCCAAGGAUGUUUUCAUUGAUCAAGAACGAAAGUUAGGGGAUCGAAGACGAUCAGAUACCGUCCUAGUCUUAACCAUAAACAAUGCCGACUAGAGAUCGGAGGUCGUUAUCUAUACGACUCCUUCAGCACCUUAUGGGAAAUCAAAGUCUUUGGGUUCCGGGGGGAGUAUGGUUGCAAGGCUGAAACUUAAAGGAAUUGACGGAAGGGCACCACCAGGAGUGGAGCCUGCGGCUUAAUUUGACUCAACACGGGAGAAACUUACCAGGUACAGACAUAGUAAGGAUGGACAGAAAGAUAGCUCUUUCUUGUAUUUAUGGGUGGUGGAGCAUGGCCGUUCUUGGGUGGUGGAGUGAUUUGUCUGGUUAAUUCCGUUGACGAACGAGGCCUUAACCUGAUAAAUAGUUUCAUGUAACCUCGGUUAUGUGGGUAACUUCUUAGAGGGACUUUGCGUGUCUAACGCAAGGAAGUUUGAGGCAAUAACAGGUCUGUGAUGCCCUUAGAUGUUCUGGGCUGCACGCGCGCUACACUGAUGCGUUCAUCAAGCUUUUGACCUUGCCUGGAAAGGUUGGGUAACCUCUUUAAAUUGCAUCGUGAUGGGGAUAGAUUAUUGUAAUUAUUAAUCUUCAACGAGGAAUUCCUAGUAAGCGUGAGUCAUCAGCUCGCGCUGAUUACGUCCCUGCCCUUUGUACACACCGCCCGUCGCUCCUACCGAUUGAGUGUUCCUGUGAAUUGUUCGGACUGCCGCAGUCGCCAGUUCCUGGAGAUUGUAGCGGAAAGUUCUGUAAAUAGGGCCACUUAGAGGAAGGAGAAGUCGUAACGGGGUAACC